AGAUGUGAGCNCAGUCAGGCUGGGACAUCUGUCACCCCAUUGGUCAUCAUGGUUGAUUUGGCUGAUCUGGGUGGUUAGGCAGGUGUUUCCUCUCUCUCUCACGGCUCCAUAUGCUUCCCUCCUGAGACUGCAUGCUUGGCCCUGCCUAGUGGCUGGUGACCUCCCCUAUGAAGAAAGGAAGAGGGGUCUUUGUUCACAGGUAGAUGAGUAGUCUGUGAUAGAACCUUCAAACAAAUUCCCAGAUAGUUAAUCUUAUAUAUUUAUUUAAAUGUAUAUUUAAAGACUGUAAGAUUAUAUUUAUU
rnacentral:snRNA from 1 species